CCACUCCGAUAAAGAUGACCAGCAGAAACUGAAACUACAUCUAUUCAUCUCCAACAACCUUUCUUGAAGACUGCUGGCAACGUGAUCUCAGAUAUCAGGGUGAAGCCAACUUCAGGAUUGUCCUCAGGAAAUUUUUCUCCAUCAAAAAUUGCCUCAACUUCUGCCUGAAGGGAUUUACUGGCCCAACAAAGAAUCUUCUUCCAGAACCCUGAGGUCAUUCAUUACAGUUAUGAUUCCAGAGUCCUCGUCCUUGUUUAUG